CCUGGAUCUGUAUGUCAGAGAGGAAAGCAUCAUCCUCUUCCUCAUCACUGUGAAUGCUUUCAUCAGAAUCAUAUAUAACACCACUGUCUGACAGAGGAAGAAAUGGCUUUGCCAUAAAAUAGUCCCACAUGCUGAGUUCUGGAGGGAUAAACUUUUCUUUGUAAGAGGGCCUCUCUGCAGGUACAGGUGGUGGCACAGUGCUGUCCUUCACAGGCCUUCCAGGCACCAGCAUUCUCAUAUUAAAACGGCGACGAUGUUUAUCCAUUUCUUCUGAAGGAAGAGGUGGUGCUGGAAUAUUUUCUGAUUGCCUUCGAGGCUUUACAAGAAGUUUCACUCCCCCGCCAAAAAC
rnacentral:lncRNA from 1 species